rnacentral:snRNA from 1 species
AUAGUCCCCUGGCGGGAAGAUACAUAAUCACGAGCUGGUUUCCUAGGGCGAGGCUCAGCAUUACCCUCUGAAUGUGCUGACCCCUGUGAUUUCUCCAAAUGCUGGAAACUCCACUGCACAAUCUGUGAUAGUGGGGGACUGAAUAAACACAAA